CUGGCCACGAACCAGCAGUUUCUGAACUUCCUGUGUUCUUAACUUGGAAACAGACACGCUGAGGUUUUACAGGCCAUUCCCAGGGAUGCAUUUCAGUAAAACUUCUCCAUUGUGUGUGAUGAGAAUAUCAGUGGUGGUGCUGGUGAUGGAGUCCUAUUUUCCUGAGCAAUGCUGCAUCUACACAAAAUUCCAACAAAAUUUCUUCAUUUUUGGAAAUAGAAGUGUUUACAAGGUACUCUGCUAAGUUUGUUUCUG
rnacentral:lncRNA from 1 species